CAAUAUAACAUAUUUUUCAGUGGCCAUUGUUAAGUGCCAAGCGGAAUCCUAGCAACCAAGCCACGUCAGCACAGCAGCAAAAACAGUUUCAGCAGCAGUCGUAUACUAAACAUCAACAACAGUGGUGCAUAUGCAUUAAACUACGAGAGUAAACAAGUUGACUGCGUAAUGUGGCAUCAAAGUCUGCAAGGAGAAACCAUGCAAUUGAGGAAGCCAAGAAACCAUGUGAUAAUUUCAAGCAGCUUACCUACUCUUGAAACCCGGAUAGCAAAGCAUUGAGUUUGUUCUGGAAGCAUUUGUAGUCACAGCUCAUUAAGCAUCCCCCUGAAGCAGGACCCUCAGUCUAGGGACGCCAAUUGACGAAAUAAAACUUGUCAUUCAGCAACACAGCCAGUUGCAGCAGUUGUUACCAUAUUGACCCCAGUCAAAACUAGGAGCUCAGAGAUAACACAGCCAGUUGCAGCAGUUGUUACCGUAUGGACCCCAGUCAAAACAAGGAGCUCAGAGAUAAAUACUGUUUAAGAUAGAUAUUCUCUACAUUCCUCAUGGUCAGGCAACACAGCCAGUUGCAGCAGUUGUUACCAUCUUGACCCCAGUCAAAACUAAGAGCUUAGAGACAAUCAGCAACACAGCCAGUUGCAGCAGUUGUUACCAUAUUGACCCCAGUCAAAACUAGGAGCUCAGAGACAAUCAGCAACACAGCCAGUUGCAGCAGUUGUUACCGUAUUGACCCCAGUCAAAACUAGGAGCUCAGAGACAAUCAGCAACACAGCCAGUUGCAGCAGUUGUUACCGUAUUGACCCCCGUUAAAAC